rnacentral:rRNA from 1 species
CCAGCAGCCGCGGUAAUUCCAGCUCCAGAAGCGUAUAUUUAAAUUGUUGCUGUUAAAAAGCUCGUAGUUGGAUUUCUGGUGUGGUGCGGCCGGUCCGUCGCCGAUAGGCGGUCGAGUACUGGCGUUGCGCCUACCAUCCCUUCUGGAGAGGCCUACUGCGAUUCAUUUCGUGGUGGGAGUCACCGAUCCAGAUCGUUUACUUUGAAAAAAUUAGAGUGUUUAAAGCAGGCUUUCAGCCACUGAAUACAUUAGCAUGGAAUAAUGAGAUAGGACUUUGGCCCUAUUUUGUUGGUUUCUAGGACUGAAGUAAUGAUUGAUAGGGACAGUUGGGGGUGCUAGUAUUU